rnacentral:rRNA from 1 species
UACGGGGGGGGUAAGCGUUGUUCGGAAUUACUGGGCGUAAAGGGCUCGUAGGCGGCCAACUAAGUCAGACGUGAAAUCCCUCAGCUUAACUGGGGAACUGCGUCUGAUACUGGAUGGCUUGAGUUCGGGAGAGGGAUGCGGAAUUCCAGGUGUAGCGGUGAAAUGCGUAGAUAUCUGGAGGAACACCGGUGGCGAAGGCGAAUCUCUGGACAGUUACUGACACUGAGGCACGAAGGCCAGGGGAGCAAACGGG